AAGUGUUCUGCCUCACAGUACCUAUAUUCCAGUGGCUGCCGAGAUAGAACUAAGGUGUUAAGAAGAAACUACUCCAGGCAAGGAGACAACACCACAGAAGGAAAAGCUUAGGCUGCCGGUGUUGGGGCAUAUGCUUACCUGGGCUGUUCUGCCAAGACAGAAGAAGGUGAUGAUAGAGGCCUGGAGAUCAUUAACCAAGUGCAUUACGUGAGGAAAGGAGGAGAAAAAAACCACUGCAGGCACUGCCAAAUUUUGUGAGAAGGGAACAUUAUUUUGUGGUUGGAUUUCAUCAUGUGGAAAGCACUUGCAGGCAGAGGACAUAAAGAAGAGGGAAUGCCAGCAACCAUGCUGUCAACUUUGCAAGUCAUUAACAAUCUGGAAAGAGACUGAGACAUACUGUCAACUUAAGCAGAACAUCUCAGAGUGGCUCAGAGAUGGACAAAAAUGAAAAGAUUUUGGGUGCAACUCCCCAGUCCUCCCUUCUGAGAAGCAGUGAGUCCUGGCAGCACAAAGAACUGAGUUAUGAACUGAGAUUAAAGGCACAAGACUGGAAGCAGACAAGUAAUGAGAAUGCAGGGUUUGAAGGCACGUGCAGAAACACAGAAAUGGACAGAGAAAUAUUCUAAGGUAAACCCCUUCUGAUCCUGAAGUGAAGGUACAGCACUAAUUGAGUGUAACUGUCAUGAACUAGGAAAACAUGGAAAUCUGUCCCUUUGUUUUGCUCCUUCCUUGAUGCUGGUGUCAUCACUCUGGCAGCCUGGUUAAAGUUUCCCAGGAGGAAACAAAAUGAGAACAAAGACAAAUUUCUAAACUGAUUGUGCACCUGGAGCUGUACACUUUGCAAAUGAGCUUUUCCACGUGAGAGACAUGGCAAAAUACACAAUUAAGAUUUUUUUCUUACCCAUCUUCCCACCAUUAUUUGUCUAUUGAUGAUACCAUGGGUAGAAAUGCUGGGGCUGGCCAAGUAUUCAGUAUUGGAUGGAUUGCUGCUUUCCUCCUACGUCACUUUGUGGUAGCAGUUUGAAGUCCACAAUCACACUAUGCCAUAACAACAAAUGCUUCAAGGAUGACAUUUCCAAAAACACCUUUCUUCCAAGAAUCUCUGAGUGCUUUUCAACAUGAAUUACCAGCCCAUCUCUUGGUGAUAAGUAGGUGUUAUUUCAGUCUUCAAACUGAGAAACUGCUGCCUAAAGUAACUGUGAAUCAUCUACUUCCUGGAGUUUUCUUUUUCCUGUUUUCCAUACCCUUUCCCUUUUGUCUCCUGGGCCAUUCUUAACCGCAAUUUCCUCUCCCCUCUGUCUAUAAUAAUCCCCUCGAUGCAACCUGAUGUUGUACCUAAACUUUAAAACUCUCCCCCCCUGCCCCCUGCAUGCAACUUGGGCGUGUGUGUGCUGUGCAUAAGUGCUCUCCUCAUUCAGGUAGAAGCAUCAAUUGAGCUGUAUUUAUGUAGAUAGGUUUAAAUUGUUAUUUCCAUGCUCUAUGUGCAUGUGUGGGUGGGGAGGAUUAGUCUGCAGAUAAGUUAAAGAGCGCAGGUGUCUCAGGUGCCUCUGAUGUGGAGCACUGAACCGGAGAGAGGCAGUUUUGCAAAGAUUCUCAGCACUUACUGCUCCCCCUGCUUGGAAAGUUCAGACCACUUGUGUGAAUCAGAGCUCACACUACCUGGUGCUUAGGAGGACACUGGGCAGCACAUUGGCUGGUGUCUGUUUUCAGUCUAAAUAAACAAGUGCUUUCCUCCAGAAGGGUGUUUUGUUCAAGAUAAGGGUAACUGCCUUCACUCCCAGUAUUCACUGUACAUAUCUCUGAAUUAAGCUGUUGUUACACUGA